rnacentral:rRNA from 1 species
UACGUAGGGUCCGAGCGUUGUCCGGAAUUACUGGGCGUAAAGAGCUCGUAGGUGGUUUGUCGCGUUGUUCGUGAAAACUCACAGCUUAACUGUGGGCGUGCGGGCGAUACGGGCAGACUAGAGUACUGCAGGGGAGACUGGAAUUCCUGGUGUAGCGGUGGAAUGCGCAGAUAUCAGGAGGAACACCGGUGGCGAAGGCGGGUCUCUGGGCCGAUACUGACGCUGAGGAGCGAAAGCAUGGGGAGCGAACAGG